rnacentral:tRNA from 1 species
UUUUUGUUUUAUAAAAAAUUAGAUUUUGAAAAUCUAAAAUGGAAUAUUUUUCCACAAAAAG